CGUAGGGUGCGAGCGUUAAUCGGAAUUACUGGGCGUAAAGCGUGCGUAGGCGGUUUGCCGUGUCCUGUGUGAAAGCCCCGGGCUCAACCUGGGAAUUGCAUGGGAAACUGGCAGGCUUGAGUGUGGCAGAGGAGGGUGGAAUUCCGCGUGUAGCAGUGAAAUGCGUAGAGAUGCGGAGGAACACCGAUGGCGAAGGCAGCCCUCUGGGCCAACACUGACGCUCAGGCACGAAAGCGUGGGGAGCAAACAGGAUUAGAUACCCUGGUAGUCCACGCCCUAAACGAUGUCGACUAGGUGUUGGGGAAGCGAUUCCUUGGUACCGUAGCUAACGCGUGAAGUCGACCGCCUGGGGAGUACGGCCGCAAGGUUA
rnacentral:rRNA from 1 species